UGGGGAAUUUUGGACAAUGGGGGAAACCCUGAUCCAGCCAUCCCGCGUGUGCGAUGAAGGCCUUCGGGUUGUAAAGCACUUUUGGCAGGAAAGAAACGUCAUGGGCUAAUACCCCGUGAAACUGACGGUACCUGCAGAAUAAGCACCGGCUAACUACGUGCCAGCAGCCGCGGUAAUACGUAGGGUGCAAGCGUUAAUCGGAAUUACUGGGCGUAAAGCGUGCGCAGGCGGUUCGGAAAGAAAGAUGUGAAAUCCCAGAGCUUAACUUUGGAACUGCAUUUUUAACUACCGAGCUAGAGUGUGUCAGAGGGAGGUGGAAUUCCGCGUGUAGCAGUGAAAUGCGUAGAUAUGCGGAGGAACACCGAUGGCGAAGGCAGCCUCCUGGGAUAACACUGACGCUCAUGCACGAAAGCGUGGGGAGCAAACA
rnacentral:rRNA from 1 species